UCCUUCAGAUAGGCAAUGAGAUCUGCACGCUCCUGUGGCUUCUUCAAUCCAGGGAAGACCAUCUUAGUUCCAGGAAUGUACUUCUUAGGAUUAAGCAAGUAAUCAUACAAAGUAUUCUCUCCCCAAAUCACAGCCAUGUUCUUGUUACCUGCAGAGUAGGAAUACCCUGCAGUUGUCCCAGAUUGCCUUCCGAAAAGCCCGUUCAAAUUGGGUCCUUGUUUGUGGCCGGCUCCUUUUUCGACGGUGUGGCACUGAGCGCACUUAGUCUUGAAGAUCUUCUCUCCGGCCUUUUGAUCGCCUGGUGGAGCUUGCUCGAAUGUCGCCAUUUC
rnacentral:misc_RNA from 1 species